rnacentral:rRNA from 1 species
AAAUUGAAGAGUUUGAUCAUGGCUCAGAUUGAACGCUGGCGGCAGGCCUAACACAUGCAAGUCGAACGGUAACAGGAAGCAGCUUGCUGCUUUGCUGACGAGUGGCGGACGGGUGAGUAAUGUCUGGGAAACUGCCUGAUGGAGGGGGAUAACUACUGGAAACGGUAGCUAAUACCGCAUAACGUCGCAAGACCAAAGAGGGGGACCUUCGGGCCUCUUGCCAUCGGAUGUGCCCAGAUGGGAUUAGCUAGUAGGUGGGGUAACGGCUCACCUAGGCGACGAUCCCUAGCUGGUCUGAGAGGAUGACCAGCCACACUGGAACUGAGACACGGUCCAGACUCCUACGGGAGGCAGCAGUGGGGAAUAUUGCACAAUGGGCGCAAGCCUGAUGCAGCCAUGCCGCGUGUAUGAAGAAGGCCUUCGGGUUGUAAAGUACUUUCAGCGGGGAGGAAGGCGAUAAGGUUAAUAACCUUGUCGAUUGACGUUACCCGCAGAAGAAGCACCGGCUAACUCCGUGCCAGCAGCCGCGGUAAUACGGAGGGUGCAAGCGUUAA